AUUCCAUGGUGGGGGCAUUGUGAUAAAAGAUUUUUGAAACGAUCAAAGAAUUUCCAAAAAGACUCAUUUUCCUUUUGUCGAAAUUCAUUUAUUUCAUUUGUGAUU
rfam:Daucus carota subsp. sativus cultivar DH1 chromosome 3, whole genome shotgun sequence.